ACCAAUAUGGUGGAAUUGGUAGACACGCUAGGUUUAGGUUCUAGUUCUUAAAAGAGUGGGGGUUCAAAUCCCCCUUUUGGUA
rnacentral:tRNA from 1 species